UGAGGAAUAUUGGUCAAUGGACGAGAGUCUGAACCAGCCAAGUAGCGUGAAGGAUGACUGCCCUAUGGGUUGUAAACUUCUUUUAUACGGGAAUAAAGUUCAGUAUGCAUACUGUUUUGCAUGUACCGUAUGAAUAAGGAUCGGCUAACUCCGUGCCAGCAGCCGCGGUAAUACGGAGGAUCCGAGCGUUAUCCGGAUUUAUUGGGUUUAAAGGGAGCGUAGGCGGGUUGUUAAGUCAGUUGUGAAAGUUUGCGGCUCAACCGUAAAAUUGCAGUUGAUACUGGCGACCUUGAGUGCAGCAGA
rnacentral:rRNA from 1 species